rnacentral:rRNA from 1 species
GCGACCCCAAGUCAGGCGG